UUAAAGAAACCUGAGGAUUCA
rnacentral:piRNA from 1 species